ACAACCUUCGGACCGUCGGUCUACCUAGUAAUAUCACUCGCUAGCUGGAAGAUGUACAGUUUGUCGU
rnacentral:pre_miRNA from 1 species